rnacentral:tRNA from 1 species
CGGACGUGGCGGAAUUGGUAGACGCGCUAGAUUUAGGUUCUAGUAAGUUAACCUUGUGAGAGUUCGAGUCUCUCCGUCCGC